rnacentral:rRNA from 1 species
UACAGAGGUCUCAAGCGUUGUUCGGAUUCAUUGGGCGUAAAGGGUGCGUAGGUGGCGCCGUAAGUCGGGUGUGAAAUUUCGGAGCUUAACUCCGAAACUGCAUUCGAUACUGCGGUGCUUGAGGACUGGAGAGGAGACUGGAAUUCACGGUGUAGCAGUGAAAUGCGUAGAUAUCGUGAGGAAGACCAGUGGCGAAGGCGGGUCUCUGGACAGUUCCUGACACUGAGGCAACGAAGGCUAGGGGAGCAAACGGG